UUAAUUUAGUCCUUACCGUCAUAAAACCGUUUGAAAUAACAGAAUAUUCCAUUAAAAAUCGAAUAUUCUCAUAAUUUAGUCAAAAAAUUUAAUUAAAAACACCUCUAUUUUUAUAAAAUACCAAAAAUAUCCUUUAUAUUUUUGUCCCUCAAAAUCAGAGAACUCUAACUAUCCCUAGGUUAUUCUCCUAAGUUCCCAAUUAGAUUUCUCCUCCGUCGCACUCUGCUGCCGUCAUACAUGGCGUCAUCGUCGUCCAUCGCUGGGUGGUCGUCGUCCUUCUGCGGCGCCCACAGGUGCUCUGUUCUACUCCGCUCGUCCGCCUUGCCUAUUGCAUCCCCUCGUCCCGCCUUGCCUCACCGCGCCUCGCGGUGCCUUGCCUCAAAUCGCCGCUCCUCGACUCCGCGUUUUGCUGUCUGGACUGGUUCUGCAACAACAGAGGCAUACAUGUUCUACUUGUAAAAGUUUGGGCUGCAAUCCUCAAGGCAUUGCUGCUGACAUGCUUCGAUGCUUGGUUCUGCAAUAUCGAAGAUUGUUGGUAAAAGCAAAGGCCUCAGAUACAACUGAAUGUGCUGCUAUGGUUAAUACCAAUUCCUGCAGAGACUUUCUUGGAUUGGCUUUGGGAAUCUCAAGCCUCUUUGUUGGUUCAUUGGAAGCCAAAGAAGCUGGUUUGCUCCUGGAAGAUAAGCCGAAAUUAUGUGAUGAAGCUUGUGAGAAGGAGCUUGAAAAUAUAUUUAAUGCUUUGGUGUUACUUUGUGAUUGUAGGUGGUCCAAAAGCAGCAUGUGCUGAUUGUGCUGGCUUUGCGGCAUUCUCAGUCGUUAUAGAGAAGUUCUUAGACAGCAUGAGUAGUUACCUAUUGAAUUGAAGUCACCCAAUUUUGCAUUCAUUAGGCAUAGUAUGAAUUUUCAUAGUGAUAAUCUUUUGCCCAUUUGCUAAAGGGCGCAUACAAAAUUGUAGUAUUUUAUUUUACAUCGAUUAUUGUUUAUUUGUAUACAAUAUCAAUUGGUAGAUGCAUUCUUCCAAUUCCAA